rnacentral:rRNA from 1 species
AGAGUUUGAUCCUGGCUCAGAUUGAACGCUGGCGGCAGGCUUAACACAUGCAAGUCGAACGGUAACAGGAAGGAAGCUUGCUUUCUUUGCUGACGAGUGGCGGACGGGUGAGUAAUGCUUGGGAAUCUGGCUUAUGGAGGGGGAUAACUACGGGAAACUGUAGCUAAUACCGCGUAAUAUCUUCGGAUUAAAGGGUGGGACCGUAAGGCCACCUGCCAUAAGAUGAGCCCAAGUGGGAUUAGGUAGUUGGUGGGGUAAAGGCCUACCAAGCCGACGAUCUCUAGCUGGUCUGAGAGGAUGACCAGCCACACUGGAACUGAGACACGGUCCAGACUCCUACGGGAGGCAGCAGUGGGGAAUAUUGCACAAUGGGGGGAACCCUGAUGCAGCCAUGCCGCGUGAAUGAAGAAGGCCUUCGGGUUGUAAAGUUCUUUCGGUGAUGAGGAAGGCGGUUGUUUUAAUAGAACAAUCGAUUGACGUUAGUCACAGAAGAAGCACCGGCUAACUCCGUGCCAGCAGCCGCGGUAAUACGGAGGGUGCGAGCGUUAAUCGGAAUGACUGGGCGUAAAGGGCACGCAGGCGGUGACUUAAGUGAGAUGUGAAAGCCCCGGGCUUAACCUGGGAAUUGCAUUUCAUACUGGGUCGCUAGAGUAUUUUAGGGAGGGGUAGAAUUCCACGUGUAGCGGUGAAAUGCGUAGAGAUGUGGAGGAAUACCGAAGGCGAAGGCAGCCCCUUGGGAAUAUACUGACGCUCAUGUGCGAAAGCGUGGGGAGCAAACAGGAUUAGAUAACCCUGGUAGUCCAACGCUGUAAACGCUGUCGAUUUGGGGAUUGGGCUUUAAGCUUGGUGCCCGUAGCU